rnacentral:rRNA from 1 species
AUUGAACGCUGGCGGCGUGCUUAACACAUGCAAGUCGAUCGGUAACAGGUGUAGCAAUACAUGCUGACGAGAGGCGGACGGGUGAGCAAUGCUUGGGAAUCUGCCUAUUAGUGGGGGACAACCCGGGGAAACUCGGGCUAAUACCGCAUACGCUCUAACGGAGGAAAGCCGGGACCGCAAGGCCUGGCGCUAAUAGAUGAGCCCAAGUCGGAUUAGCUAGUUGGUAGGAACGCCCGCCAAGGCGACGAUCCGUAGCUGGUCUGAGAGGAUGAUCAGCCACACUGGGACUGAGACACGGCCCAGACUCCUACGGGAGGCAGCAGUGGGGAAUAUUGGACAAUGGGCGCAAGCCUGAUCCAGCCA